ensembl:lncRNA
GCGUGAGAUUCUCCAUUCGUAUUCUCCGGUUCCAUUUUAGUUUGAAAUCCUUCCACAUGAGGAAGCAGAUAUUACUUUCCCGCAAAGGAUUGAGACCAGCGGCAUGGCUAAGAAUCAUGGAAACAGUGGUAAAGACCAAUUCAAGGCAAAGCAAAUUAGCAAAAGAUGCAGAGAUUCAUUCCGUUGAGAUCUAGUAGCUUUUUAGACUUCGUGAAUGAUCUAUGAAAGUUCAAAACUUUGACUACAUAUACGUGAACACCAAGGGAGGAACUCUACUUAAAGACUGCUGAUAGCUGAGGGAGGAGAAUUGGCAGCCAGCUGAGAGCAGCACCCUGAGGACUGAGAUUGAUGAGGCAGUCGGGAGUGGCAAGAUUCUCUGAGAUCAACAGAUUGACCCUGAGCUACCAUUUGUGCCAAUCUUCCUCUAUUUUGUAUAUGGGAUGCCACCACAGCAUGGCUUGAUGAACUGUGUGUAGAUCUGCACCUGGGAUCCGAACCUAUGAACCCUGGGCUGCCAAAUCAGAGUGAGUGAACUUAACCAGUAUGCCACUGGGCUGGCCCCAAGUUGGAAUGUGCUGACCUUGCCUUUGUCUGUUGAGUCUUAUGAAGUAUCUCCAGGGGUUUUUAAGGCCAGACAAGAAAAUGCUGUGAAGGCACAUGAAAGAGAAGUCUGUGCAGGGAUCCCCAACACAAACCAGAGAAAAUUUUCUGUAUCUAAAGGCUAUCUGCUUUGUUGCUUCUGGACAAAAGUCUGAGAGGAAGGGGAAGCAUGUGCUGCCUUCCAAAUGGAAAGGACCGUCGCAUCAGACUCUUGCGGGCAUGAGGUCCUUGUUGGUGGAGCUCUUCCCCAGCCAUGAGAAAAGAAACGGAUGACAAAGUCUUCUGAAAUGGAACUCUUCACUGCUAUCUGACUCUUCUAGAAGAUCUUCAUUUUUAGAAGAUUUUGUGUUUCAUCCAGAAAUCAAAUGUAAUUAUGUUGUACUUGGAAAUAUUUGAUUCAUAUCGGGUAUGAAAUAUUAAAGAUGAAAAAUGACUGGAAAGAUGAUGAAAAGAACUACUUAAACAUUAUGAAUAAGACAAAAUGCCUUAUUUGAAUUCAGUCAACACAGAUUGAGCCUUUUCAGCACUAGUUAAUGAGCCUACCUAGAUGAGGAAGACCCUGACCUUAUGGAUCCUUCAGCCCAGUGAGGUGGUCACACCACCCAAUGCAGUAUAAAAAAUAUGUAAUGGGGGGGGUCUGGCCCCGUGGCCGAGUGGUUGGGUUCACGCGCUCCGCUGCAGGCGGCCCAGUGUUUCGUCAGUUCGAAUCCUGGGCGCGGACAUGACACUGCUCGUCGAACCACGCUGGGGUGGCGUCCCACAUACCACAACUAGAAGGACCCACAACGAAGAACAUACAACUAUGUGCCAGGGGGCUUUGGGGAGAAAAAGGAAAAAAUAAAAAUCUUUAAAAAAAAUGUAAUGGGGACACAUACAACAUGCCACUGGGAGGCAGAGGUAAAUUUAUCUGAAGAAGAUUGGGAAAGGGUCCACUAGGGUGAUGCCCUUGUUGAUGAUGUCUUGUAGGUGUUCACCAGGUGCAGAAGAGGGGAAAGGACAUUGCAAACAGAGGGAUGCAUAUGUGCAGACAAUGAGGCAUGUGCAUAUGCCCGCUGCUGGAAUAGAGGGGAGCUUUGGGUGGCUAAAGCUUUAUGGUGGACAUGACAUAAAAUGAGUCUAAGAUCUGCUGUGGUUAGAUGGAGA